GAGUUUGAUCAUGGCUCAGAUUGAACGCUGGCGGCAGGCCUAACACAUGCAAGUCGAACGGUAACAGGAAGCAGCUUGCUGCUUCGCUGACGAGUGGCGGACGGGUGAGUAAUGUCUGGGAAGCUGCCUGAUGGAGGGGGAUAACUACUGGAAACGGUAGCUAAUACCGCAUAAUGUCGCAAGACCAAAGAGGGGGACCUUCGGGCCUCUUGCCAUCGGAUGUGCCCAGAUGGGAUUAGCUUGUUGGUGGGGUAACGGCUCACCAAGGCGACGAUCCCUAGCUGGUCUGAGAGGAUGACCAGCCACACUGGAACUGAGACACGGUCCAGACUCCUACGGGAGGCAGCAGUGGGGAAUAUUGCACAAUGGGCGCAAGCCUGAUGCAGCCAUGCCGCGUGUAUGAAGAAGGCCUUCGGGUUGUAAAGUACUUUCAGCGGGGAGGAAGGGAGUAAAGUUAAUACCUUUGCUCAUUGACGUUACCCGCAGAAGAAGCACCGGCUAACUCCGUGCCAGCAGCCGCGGUAAUACGGAGGGUGCAAGCGUUAAUCGGAAUUACUGGGCGUAAAGCGCACGCAGGCGGUUUGUUAAGUCAGAUGUGAAAUCCCCGGGCUCAACCUGGGAACUGCAUCUGAUACUGGCAAGCUUGAGUCUCGUAGAGGGGGGUAGAAUUCCAGGUGUAGCGGUGAAAUGCGUAGAGAUCUGGAGGAAUACCGGUGGCGAAGGCGGCCCCCUGGACGAAGACUGACGCUCAGGUGCGAAGGCGUGGGGAGCAAACAGGAUUAGAUACCCUGGUAGUCCACGCCGUAAACGAUGUCGACUUGGAGGUUGUGCCCUUGAGGCGUGGCUUCCGGAGCUAACGCGUUAAGUCGACCGCCUGGGGAGUACGGCCGCAAGGUUAAAACUCAAAUGAAUUGACGGGGGCCCGCACAAGCGGUGGAGCAUGUGGUUUAAUUCGAUGCAACGCGAAGAACCUUACCUGGUCUUGACAUCCACGGAAGUUUUCAGAGAUGAGAAUGUGCCUUCGGGAACCGUGAGACAGGUGCUGCAUGGCUGUCGUCAGCUCGUGUUGUGAAAUGUUGGGUUAAGUCCCGCAACGAGCGCAACCCUUAUCCUUUGUUGCCAGCGGUCCGGCCGGGAACUCAAAGGAGACUGCCAGUGGUAAACUGGAGGAAGGUGGGGAUGACGUCAAGUCAUCAUGGCCCUUACGACCAGGGCUACACACGUGCUACAAUGGCGCAUACAAAGAGAAGCGACCUCGCGAGAGCAAGCGGACCUCAUAAAGUGCGUCGUAGUCCGGAUUGGAGUCUGCAACUCGACUCCAUGAAGUCGGAAUCGCUAGUAAUCGUGGAUCAGAAUGCCACGGUGAAUACGUUCCCGGGCCUUGUACACACCGCCCGUCACACCAUGGGAGUGGGUUGCAAAAGAAGUAGGUAGCUUAACCUUCGGGAGGGCGCUUACCACUUUGUGAUUCAUGACUGGGGUGAAGUCGUAACGAGGUA
rnacentral:rRNA from 1 species